UGAUGCAGCCAUGCCGCGUGUGUGAAGAAGGACCUUCGGGUUGUAAAGCACUUUCAGUAGGGAGGAAGGUAGUGUAGUUAACACCUGCAUUAUUUGACGUUACCUACAGAAGAAGCACCGGCUAACUCCGUGCCAGCAGCCGCGGUAAUACGGAGGGGUGCGAGCGUUAAUCGGAAUUACUGGGCGUAAAGCGCAUGCAGGCGGCCUGUUAAGUCAGAUGUGAAAGCCCGGGGCUUAACCUCGGAAUUGCAUUUGAAACUGGCAGGCUAGAGUCUUGUAGAGGGGGGUAGGAAUUUCAGGUGUAGCGGUGAAAUGCGUAGAGAUCUGAAGGAAUACCAGUGGCGAAGGCGGCCCCCUGGACAAAGACUGACGCUCAGAUGCGAAAGCGUGGGGACGCAAACAGGAUUAGAUACCCCUGGUAG
rnacentral:rRNA from 1 species